rnacentral:rRNA from 1 species
GACGAACGCUGGCGGCGUGCUUAACACAUGCAAGUCGAACGAAGAGCGAUGGAAGCUUGCUUCUAUCAAUCUUAGUGGCGAACGGGUGAGUAACGCGUAAUCAACCUGCCCUUCAGAGGGGGACAACAGUUGGAAACGACUGCUAAUACCGCAUACGAUCUAACCUCGGCAUCGAGGAAAGAUGAAAGGUGGCCUCUAUGUAUAAGCUAUCACUGAAGGAGGGGAUUGCGUCUGAUUAGCUAGUUGGAGGGGUAACGGCCCACCAAGGCGAUGAUCAGUAGCCGGUCUGAGAGGAUGAACGGCCACAUUGGGACUGAGACACGGCCCAGACUCCUACGGGAGGCAGCAGUGGGGAAUCUUCCGCAAUGGACGAAAGUCUGACGGAGCAACGCCGCGUGAGUGAUGUCGGCCUUCGGGUUGUAAAGCUCUGUUAAUCGGGACGAAAGGCCUUCUUGCGAAUAGUGAGAAGGAUUGACGGUACCGGAAUAGAAAGCCACGGCUAACUACGUG